CAGAAGCUUCCCCUAUACUAUACAUAUAUUUUACAAAAUAAAAAUGAAACGGAUCGGGUCGGGUACAAUUGACCUGGGCUCAGAUAUGACCCAUUAGGCUCAUAAGUAUCAGUGGUCCAACACAUGAGUCCAAAGUAUUUAUCAUCACUGCCUAUUAUAUACACUCUAUAUACACUCUAUAUACAUCAGAUAAACUAAACCAAUAUACAAUUACACAGCUAUUGUAAUGACUUGGAAGCCAUGUAAUCUUGUAAGUCAACAGAAAGGAAGCUCUUGAAUUUAUUUAAGAAGCUAAGACAUUUUAGUGUAGAUCACAUCUUGUUGUCUUUCCACGUGAAUGGAGGGCGUGAAUAUUUAACUGACAUGAUUUGCGCGUUUGCUGGCAACUUGUGUGUUUUUCUUCUUGUCUUCGUUACACUAUUUGUUUAUGCCAACCUGUUACUCAAUAUAUAUUGCUGUAAUAAUAAUAAAACAGUAAUUUCUUUUAGAAAAAACAGAAACAGAAAAUUAGUAGAACUAGAAUGAUAAAAUAAAUUUUGGAAAAUAAUAUAGGAAUAAAUCGAGUCUAUUGAAUAUACAGUAUAUUUUUAAGGAAAUUAUUCUCUUCAUGUACCAAAGUAUUGGAAUAUAUCCUCCAGGAUAGAACGAUUUAACUCAUCAGCGUAUUGAUACCAAAAACUCUAUUGAAUGGCAAACCACUCAAUGGUCGUAAAAUAUACUGGAAAAUAUUGUGCAGAAGAAGAAGAAGAUCAUCAGAAAAUUUAGUAAGUAAAAAUUAUGAGAUUCAAGGCAUAUUUAUUACCUGUUUGACACCGUGUCCAAAAACGUUUCCAACCGUUCAUAACAGUCAUAGUUGUUAGAACAGGUGGGAAUAUUGCGGAAAAAUUAGAAACUUAAUUUAAAAUAAUCCGAGAAAGAAAACGAAUCAGACCGGGUUGCGCGGCAUGGGUUAUUUUGGAUUGAAUUAAAUUAAAUAAUUAAAAGGAAUUUUGUUCAAAAAAGAUUAAUCAAUCAAUGCCAAUGCCGAACGAGCAACAAGGGCGACAGCGCGAAACUUGACUUUUUCAUAACUCUUUAAGAGCUAGAAGAAGAACAAUUAUAUAUAUAUUCAUCAAAAGCCUUUUCUUCCUCCAAUAUGAGGCAAUGUCUCUUUGCCAAGGAGGGAAACUCAAAUAUUUCAUUUUCCCUUUUCCUUCCAUUUCACGUUUACCCUCUUUAAGCUACACCAAACUUAAAGCCCAACAAACCCCGUGGGGUAUCAAUGGUUCGGUUUGAUCGGUUAUUUAAUAAUAUUUGUACCAUACUAAUUGUUCGGUAUAAUCAAAAUGAAAUUUUUCGAAAACGUUCUAAUCAUGUUCGUUUCUCUUUGAUAUAGGUAUGGUUCGAUUAAUAUUUGAUAUUUUUUAAAAGUCACUUGUAAAAGUACAAUGUAAUAACAUGUGUACUUUUAUAAGACUUAGCAAAAUUCUCUCACAUCUUUAUUGUUCAAACAGUGAUGAACUACAAAAAAAAUAUGAAACAUGUCUACAGUUAGUUCUAUUAACUAAGCAAAGACAAAAAAAUAUCACACAAUUGAAAAGAUACUAAUUAAGUUAGAACUUAAAAAUAAAAUCUAUGAAAGAUUAAAUAUUCAAAAAAAAAUCUAAAUCUUACGAAAAGAAGCAUGUUCAAUAUAUUGUAGUUUGUUACUCAUAAUCGCUAGAAUACCUUGUGUCUUGGUAGUGAAUAUCUUGGAAAUAAUUUAGUUUCAAUAGGGGUAACAUAAUAGGUUUGGAAAUUAGAAUUUGAGUUUUAAUUACUUGUUGGCUUAUAAUUAUUUUCACAAUUCCAAGGCCGAAGAAAAAAUUCAAUAUUUUAUAUUUUUUAAACUUAAUAAAUAAAUAUAUCUUUUACAUGUAAAUUUAUUCGGUGCGUUCGAAAUUUUUUCUAUUUAUUUUUAUAAAAUUAAAAGCAUAUUCUAAUUAUCGGUACUAUUAUAAAUUUAUAUAAAAACCUAUACUUUUAUUAAAAUAAACUUAAAAAUUGAUUCUGUACAUUAUAUUUCGAUCAAUUUAAUUGAUUUUAAAAUAUUUAUUGACACGCCUACAGCUGAUCAAGCACAUCUUUUGGCCUUCUUUUGUUUUUCCUGUAUCAAUUUCUUUGUUUUAAAAAUAAUUAUUCAUUAUCUAUCAAAGAUUGUGAAUCAAUUUUUUCAAAGAAAAAUAGAGGGAACAACCAUUUUGUUUUUGCCACUUUUCGAUCCUAUAAGUGUGAAAUAGACACUGUCAUUAAAUUUUACUUAAGAAACUUAAAACUCCUUGGCAGUGACUAUUUUUCAGUUAAAGGGGAUGAAAAAUGAUUAUUUGUGAAGUUUACCCCCACCUCUCUUGGGCAUUCCCAAUUACGCAUUCGGGAAUUUGCACAAAUGGCCUUUUUCAGGCCACUAUUCAACUUUAAUCCCCUAUUAGGUCAUGGAAUAAAUUCGUCUGUGAAAGAAAAAAAUUUAAAAGCGAAAUUUAACUCACCAGGCAAAUGAAGAUAGAAUUUAGACCUCAAAGAGGCUAUAGGGUGCAAAUAAUCCUACCAAUAGACAUUGGGCUUUCAUAAAUCUAGGCCCUGGCCCCAGUUCCCAAACCGGUGCAAGACCCAACAACUUCCUUUUGUUCCCGGCCCAGCAAUGGACCCAGCACCCCUCUUCUUCGAGAACACGCCAACGGCCAAGCUCAGAGCUCUUUUUUACUCACGACCUCCAGUUUCUGCUUAAAGCUCAAUUUUUUCCAGGUAUUUUUGUGCUUUCUUCAGUUUUUUUCUUGCAGCGGUCAAGCAAUGUUUUUGGAUUAGAAAAAUGCAGUAGAAUUGUGUUAGCAGUGAUCGUGCUUAUUUGCAACCAACGAGCUUCUCUUUUUCUUGUUGAACAAGCUUCAAAUACAUGAAAUAAGAAUUAAGAAAAAGAAAACAAGGAUAUACAGGAAUUGGAAGUUCGUUGCGAUUUUCUCGUGCCUUUAGUUUUAUUUUCUUAUUGUAAACUGUUAGUAAUUUGCUUUUCAUUUGUAAGGUGGAAUAGUAGAGGAAGCUAUAGACAUACCGGUCCAGCACAAGAAGCUUGCACGUGAUAUUAAGGCAUGUCUCGACAUUUUACCCUUUUUACAUUGGAAUAUUUAUACUAUUCCUUGCAAUUUUUGUAAUUAUCUAUGUUGCAUUUCUUAGAAUGGACGCUUUUUCUUUCUUCUUUUUUUAGAAAAUUUCCUGUGUGAUUAAGCUAUUCAAAUGAAUGUCAAGUCAAAAGUUCAAAAAAGGACCAUAGUAUGGACAACGUGAACUAGUUCGAAUUGAUUGGUUGAUAUAUGCUCCCAAAUUCGGAAAAGGGGGUAAAAGACGACCUGAGGAAAAAGGAAAAGAUAGAAGCACAAAUGAAUUUCCUUCCUUUGGAUAUGAGAAUGGGAUAUAGGUGAGGGAAGGCAUAAAGGAGAAAGAAGAAA
rnacentral:lncRNA from 1 species